rnacentral:rRNA from 1 species
AGAGUUUGAUCAUGGCUCAGGAUGAACGCUAGCGGGAGGCCUAACACAUGCAAGUCGAGCGGGAUUACCGAGCAAUCGGUAUGAGAGCGGCGCACGGGUGAGUAACGCGUAUGCAACCUACCUUUAACAGGGGGAUAGCCCAGGGAAACUUGGAUUAAUACCCCGUAUAAUUAUUGAUCCGCAUGGAUUAAUAAUGAAAGCUGCGGCGGUUAAAGAUGGGCAUGCGUGACAUUAGCUUGUUGGUGAGGUAACGGCUCACCAAGGCUACGAUGUCUAGGGGUUCUGAGAGGAUGAUCCCCCACACUGGUACUGAGACACGGACCAGACUCCUACGGGAGGCAGCAGUGAGGAAUAUUGGUCAAUGGGCGGAAGCCUGAACCAGCCAUCCCGCGUGAAGGAAGACUGCCCUAUGGGUUGUAAACUUCUUUUCUGUUCCAAGAAUAAGCCCUACGCGUAGGGUGAUGACGGUAGAGCAGGAAUAAGGAUCGGCUAACUCCGUGCCAGCAGCCGCGGUAAUACGGAGGAUCCAAGCGUUAUCCGGAUUUAUUGGGUUUAAAGGGUGCGUAGGCGGACCUGUAAGUCAGUGGUGAAAUCCUGCAGCUUAACUGUAGAACUGCCAUUGAUACUGUUGGUCUUGAGUAUAGUUGAGGUAGGCGGAAUGAGUAGUGUAGCGGUGAAAUGCUUAGAUAUUACUCAGAACACCGAUUGCGAAGGCAGCUUACUAAGCUAUAACUGACGCUGAUGCACGAAAGCGUGGGGAUCGAACAGGAUUAGAUACCCUAGUAGUCC